AGAAUCAACGCUGGCGGCGUGCCUCAGACAUGCAAGUCGAACGCGAAAGUCCCCUUCGGGGGACAAGUAGAGUGGCGCACGGGUGAGUAACACGUAGGUAAUCUACCUUCGGAUGGGGAAUAACAACCGGAAACGGUUGCUAAUACCGCAUAAUGCAGCGGCACCUAAUGGUGACAGUUGUUAAAGCGGGGGAUCGAAAGACCUCGCGUCUGAAGAGGAGCCUGCGGCGGAUUAGCGUAGUUGGUAGGGUAACGCCUACAAGGCGACGAUCCGUA
rnacentral:rRNA from 1 species